GUGAGGAAUAUUGCGCAAUGGAGGCAACUCUGACGCAGCCAUGCCGCGUGCAGGAAGAAGGCGCUACGCGUUGUAAACUGCUUUUAACCGGGAAGAAACCCCAGGACGUGUCCUGGGUUGACGGUACCGGAGGAAUAAGCACCGGCUAACUUCGUGCCAGCAGCCGCGGUAAUACGAAGGGUGCAAGCGUUAUCCGGAUUCAUUGGGUUUAAAGGGUGCGUAGGCGGAGCGUUAAGUCAGUGGUGAAAUCCUGCAGCUUAACUGUAGACUUGCCAUUGAUACUGGCGCUCUUGAGUGCGCUUGAAGUGGGCGGAAUGUGACGUGUAGCGGUGAAAUGCUUAGAUAUGGCACAGAACACCAAUUGCGAAGGCAGCUCACUAAGGCGAUACUGACGCUGAGGCACGAAAGCGUGGGGAUCGAACAGGAUUAGAUACCCGGGUAGUCC
rnacentral:rRNA from 1 species